rnacentral:rRNA from 1 species
GAGAUCGGGAUAACACCUGGAAACAAGAUGCUAAUACCGGAUAACAACAGAUGAUGCCUAUCAACUGUUUAAAAGAUGGUUCUGCUAUCACUCCUGGAUGGACCUGCGGUGCAUUAGCUAGUUGGUAGGGUAACGGCCUACCAAGGCGAUGAUGCAUAGCCGAGUUGAGAGACUGAUCGGCCACAUUGGGACUGAGACACGGCCCAAACUCCUACGGGAGGCAGCAGAA